AAGCGAUCCCCUAUGCAAUGAAAGAAUAUAAGUUUUUAAAAGACAUACAAGCAAAGAGUGAAAAGAAAUGGACCUACAGCAGAUACCCGACUAUCUUUAACUGGCUCCGAAACGACAAAGACAAGAUAGAACAUACCAAAAAAUCGGGAGUGUGUGGUGUACUGCUCAAGAAUCUCUACAUGGGGAGGAGGAUGAGGUCUGCAUGGGGGUUGCAGCAGGGUCGCUGGAGAGAGGGAUAGUUGAGCGUGGGAGAGAUGUGGAUGGAGGAGGGGCAACAGCAGCCCUCUCCACAGGAGCAGUUGAGUAUGACGUACAGGUUGAUUGGGAUGAAGCGAGAGUG
rnacentral:lncRNA from 1 species